CCAGCCAAUCAGAGCGAGUGAGAUGUUUGUCUGUGUGAAAAUCAUGUGAUCGCCUCUGUCCGCGGGCGCAAUAUCUCUGCGAAUGAGGGUUAGCUGCUUUCGGAAGCAAACGGAAAAACUGCCACGGACCUGAGGCUGCGAUAGGCAGAGGUAAUUGCCACCAUCUUUAUUAGGGGCAGUGAUCUUCGGGACUCAUGCCGGAUCGCCAUAUUUAUAGGUGGCAACCUGCAGUGGAACGCAAGCGCAGCCUUUCUUGCUUGGGAGGGGAGAUUAAGACAAGAGAAAUGUUUGUUUUUGUUUUUGUUUUUCUGGACUUCUUUCCCAGACUGUGAGACACGGCGUGUAUUUCCUGGGAAGGACCUUUGACGCUGGCGGAGUACUGGCUUCCGGCAGUAUAAAUUGCUGCAAGUUAUCCGUUAGAUAUUUAAUGGAGGAGAAAUGCCGAAAACGUGUUCAGAACUGCAUGUUCAAAAACAAAGUUGCUGGAAAAGCUCAGUAGGUUUGGUAGCAUCUGUGAAAGGAAAAAAAAUAACGUUUCGGAUCCGCUAAUCCUUGCUUAGAACUUCAUGUUACCUGUUGCACUCUCACUGUAGGAAGUCCUGCUUUAAAUAUUAUGAUCUAUUAAAGCAUAUCCGUUUGCCCAGUAUUCAUAUGAUUGGGAUCAAAUCACUGAAAGUGCUCUGAGUCCCCUUGUGCUCCCUCGUCAAAUUUAUUAAUGUCUGACUUCCUCAGUCUGUAAUAAUGGGUGUAUUUUACCUCUGCAUCUUUCUGUGUGGGGGAGCAGGGUGCUUUUAAGAGGAGGAUUUAUACAUAACUAACAGAAACCAAGAGAAAUGUUUGCCUUUUCCAGACAAUCUUGUGUUUUCUGGAUUUCUGUCCAGGCCUGACCGUUAUUUGUCUCUUGUGGAUUUGCUUUACAGGAUAUUUAUUGAGAAUAAUUUGCAAACCAGGAUCCCAAUGCAAGUUCUCCAUUAAGCGGAGUGAUCAGGAUCUGAGUAUCAUUGACACUUAACAGUGAAAGGAAAGAGGUUUAACCAUUCUAUGCAUGGGAGAAUACUCCUGGACCUUUUGUGAUCUAAUCCCGUAACAGUGUGAGCUGCUACAAUGCACGUGCUAGUAAAAGCAUAAGAGGACAGAUGAGAUGAGUGCAUGGCUGGAGCUAUAACUUAAAAGGUUUGGAUUCCUGAGGCAUUGAGACUGUUUGUUUGUUUCUGGGGAAGGUGGGACAUGCACAAGCUUGAACAAUUGUCCUGGGCAGAGCUGGGACAGAUAUUCUUGUUGAUGCUUUUGCUAGUUCCACUGGUGAGGAUUUAAACUCGUAUGACAGGGGAAUGGGAACCCAAGUAUAGCUUUAGCAGUAAAAGACUCAAAUCAGCAAAUGGGAUUUGAAAUUAGUUCAUGAUGUUGUCGGUGGCUGAAAGAUUAAAAGAAAGAAGGAUUAAUCAAGAUCAAAUCUCUUUUCAUACAUCAGUCCUGUGAUCCCAGGAAUUGGCCUGGUGAACCUUCUUUCCGAUCAUUCAGUAGCCAGGCCAUCCUUCCUCUGGAAAGGAGAACAAAGGUGCACACGACUCCAGGUGUGGUCUCACCAAGGCCCUUAUAGAAAGAUAUCCCUCUUCCUGUACUCGAAUCCUCUCACAAUGAAGGCCGAAAUAUCAUUUGCAUUCUUCACUACUUGCUGCUGCCUGUUUCCGAAAAGAGAAUAGGAGAGAAACACGGAACUAAAUGGGGUCAGACACUCGGGUAACAUUGUGUUCAACAAUGUCCCCAUUGUAUCGGUGCUGGCCACCAAGCACCUAUUGAAGCUAGGCCCGUUUUCUGGCACUCGGUGUGUAACGUGUAUUUUGGUGCAGUGGAUGAUCAUCUCAACACUUCUUCAAGAUUGCAAUGGUUCCUGCAUCUAUCACCAUUUCAGAUGCUGCCAGAUCUGCUGAGUAUCUCUAUCAUUUUCUGUUUUUAUUUCAGAUUUCAGGUAUUUUUCUGCAUCUUAGUCCUUCAGAAGGAUCAGAGGGUAUGGAGAGAAAACAGGAAUUGGAUUCAUUUUCAGAUGAAUAAAAUGCCUGCCCUUCAUGUCUGUCCAAACUCUAUCUCUUUUUGUAGUUUUGGGCAAACGCUGACUGUUUCCCUUCCCUGAAGGACAUUUAAUGAACCAGUUCAGUUUUACUGAUAAUCCAGCAGUGCCCCUCAGUGUUGCAUCCACAAUUGAUCAGAUUAAUUUCUGAGUUUGACAAUCUUUGUGUGUGUUCUUCUGGUUUCUCUCUCUCUCUCUACUUUUUUUUUCUUCAGUUUGAAAUUGUGAUUGCAUUCAGAGAAAUCAAACAAAACCACAUCCAGA